rnacentral:rRNA from 1 species
GAUGAACGCUGGCGGUAUGCUUAACACAUGCAAGUCGAACGGACUCUUCGGAGUUAGUGGCGGACGGGUGAGUAACGCGUGAGAAUCUGGCUUUGGGUUCGGGACAACCACUGGAAACGGUGGCUAAUACCGGAUGUGCCGAGAGGUAAAAGAGAAAUUGCCUGAAGAUGAGCUCGCGUCUGAUUAGCUAGUUGGUGAGGUAAAGGCUCACCAAGGCAGCGAUCAGUAGCUGGUCUGAGAGGAUGACCAGCCACACUGGGACUGAGACACGGCCCAGACUGCUACGGGAGGCAGCAGUGGGGAAUUUUCCGCAAUGGGCGAAAGCCUGACGGAGCAAUACCGCGUGAGGGAAGAAGGCUCUUGGGGUGUAAACCUCUUUUCUUAGGGAAGAACAAAAUGACGGUACCUAAGGAAUCAGCAUCGGCUAACUCCGUG